rnacentral:tRNA from 1 species
GCAGGUAUAGUUUAGUGGUAAAACGAGACCUUGCCAAGGUUUAGUCACGAGUCCGAUUCUCGUUACCUGCU